GUGGGGGUCACGGCCCUAUGGGGCAGCUAUGGAGAGGCUAUGGGGCAGCUAUGGGGCAGGUGGGGGUCACAGCCCUAUGGGGACAGCUAUGGGGCAGCUAUGGGGCAGGUGGGGGGGCACAGCCCUAUGGGGCAGCUAUGGGGCAGGUGGGGGUCACAGCCCUAUAGGGGCAGCUAUGGGGCAGCUAUGGGGGUCACAGCCCUAUGAGGACAGCUCUAUGGGGCAGAUCUAUGGGGCAGAUCUAUGGGGGCGGCCCUAUGGGGACAGAUGGGGGUCACAGCCCUAUGGGGCAGCUAUGGGGCAAAAUAUGGGUCACAGCCCUAUGGGGACAGCUCUAUGGGGCAGACCUAUGGGGGCGGCCCUAUGGGGACAGAUGGGGGUCCCAGCCCUAUGGGGACGGCCCUAUGGGGCAGCUGUGGGGGUCACAGCCCUAUGGGGACAGCCGUAUGGGGGUGGCCCUAUGGGGACAGAUGGGGGUCCCAUCCCUACGGGGCGCCCCCCAC
ensembl:lncRNA